rnacentral:rRNA from 1 species
AGUGAACGCUGGCGGUAGGCCUAACACAUGCAAGUCGAACGGCAGCACAGUAAGAUCUUGCUCUUACGGGUGGCGAGUGGCGGACGGGUGAGGAAUACAUCGGAAUCUACUUUUUCGUGGGGGAUAACGUAGGGAAACUUACGCUAAUACCGCAUACGACCUACGGGUGAAAGCAGGGGAUCUUCGGACCUUGCGCGAUUGAAUGAGCCGAUGUCGGAUUAGCUAGUUGGCGGGGUAAAGGCCCACCAAGGCGACGAUCCGUAGCUGGUCUGAGAGGAUGAUCAGCCACACUGGAACUGAGACACGGUCCAGACUCCUACGGGAGGCAGCAGUGGGGAAUAUUGGACAAUGGGCGCAAGCCUGAUCCAGCAAUACCGCGUGGGUGAAGAAGGCCUUCGGGUUGUAAAGCCCUUUUGUUGGGAAAGAAAAGCAGCAGGUUAAUACCCCGCUGUUCUGACGGUACCCAAAGAAUAAGCACCGGCUAACUUCGUG